rnacentral:lncRNA from 1 species
AAUCAAAACAAAUAUUAAUUUGCACAGUCUCUGCACUGGGGCAGUUACCAGAGACUGAGCAUUAAUCAGUGAAACAGACAGAUAUGAGGGCCAGCCACGGGUUGUGGAAAGAGGAGGAGCAGAGACAUGGUGAGAGAAGGAGGGCUUAUAGAAAGGCAGGGGCCAAACCAAGUAGGACCAUAUGAGCUGGGCAAUGGGGAGCCACUGGAAGAUUUAUACAGGCAUCACACUUUCCCUGGAUGCUGCGUAGGAAGAAAUUGAAGCCUUCCACAAGUGGAACCAGCUCUCAGCUCCUUUCAGGAAGCAACUAAAUCAGAAAACAGUGUUCUCUCUUCCUUGGAGCUGGCACAGGUUUUGAUAACAUCGAUUGAAUGCCAAGCGCUCCAAUUUGAAGACUGCAAGAAUCUAUCGAUAGAGACAAGAACAGGUCUCAACCACAAGAAGCUGCAGCAAUAUGAAGGAAGGAUAGAUGGGCAAGGAGAAAAAGGGCAGAAAUGGAAGAGAGAAGGGGCUUUUGAAUGUCAGUUCAAAGUGGGUUAUGUUCAGAAUAAAAUAUGACCUAAUCAGAAUGGAGAAGAAGCAUCUGGACUCUCUGAACCCCAG